GACGAACGCUGGCGGCGUGCCUAAUACAUGCAAGUCGAGCGAAGUUUUUCUGGUGCUUGCACUAGAAAAACUUAGCGGCGAACGGGUGAGUAACACGUAAAGAACCUGCCUCAUAGACUGGGACAACUAUUGGAAACGAUAGCUAAUACCGGAUAACAGUAUUUCUCGCAUGAGAGAUAUUUAAAAGUUGGUUAUGCUAACACUAUGAGAUGGCUUUGCGGUGCAUUAGCUAGUUGGUGGGGUAAAGGCCCACCAAGGCGACGAUGCAUAGCCGACCUGAGAGGGUGAUCGGCCACACUGGGACUGAGACACGGCCCAGACUCCUACGGGAGGCAGCAGUAGGGAAUCUUCCGCAAUGGGCGAAAGCCUGACGGAGCAACGCCGCGUGAGUGAAGAAGGAUUUCGGUUCGUAAAGCUCUGUUGUUAGGGAAGAAUGGAUAUGUAGUAACUAUACAUGUAAGAGACGGUACCUAACCAGAAAGCCACGGCUAACUACG
rnacentral:rRNA from 1 species